AAUGAACGUUGGCGGCGUGGAUUAGGCAUGCAAGUCGAGCGCGAAGUGUUUACACUGAAAGCGGCGAAAGGGAGAGUAACGCGUAGAGUACCUACCCCGGGACCGGGAUAGCGUCGGGAAACGUGACGGUAAUACCGGAUAAUGUCUCCGGACCAAAGGUGUGAUUCCACCUGGGGAGUGGUUCUGCGUCCUAUUAGCUAGUUGGCGGGGUAAUGGCCCACCAAGGCAACGAUGGGUAGCGGGCGUGAGAGCGUGGCCCGCCUCACUGGGACUGAGACACUGCCCAGACACCUACGGGUGGCUGCAGUCGAGAAUCUUCGGCAAUGGGCGAAAGCCUGACCGAGCGACGCCGCGUGCGGGAUGAAGGCCUUCGGUUGU
rnacentral:rRNA from 1 species